rnacentral:rRNA from 1 species
CCUACGGGGGGCAGCAGUGAGGAAUAUUGGUCAAUGGACGAGAGUCUGAACCAGCCAAGUAGCGUGAAGGAUGACUGCCCUAUGGGUUGUAAACUUCUUUUAUAUGGGAAUAAAACGUUCCACGUGUGGGAUUUUGUAUGUACCAUAUGAAUAAGGAUCGGCUAACUCCGUUCCAGCAGCCGCGGUAAUACGGAGGAUCCGAGCGUUAUCCGGAUUUAUUGGGUUUAAAGGGAGCGUAGGUGGAUUGUUAAGUCAGUUGUGAAAGUUUGCGGCUCAACCGUAAAAUUGCAGUUGAAACUGGCAGUCUUGAGUACAGUAGAGGUGGGCGGAAUUCGUGGUGUAGCGGUGAAAUGCUUAGAUAUCACGAAGAACUCCGAUUGCGAAGGCAGUUCACUGGACUGCAACUGACACUGAGGCUCGAAAGUGUGGGUAUCAAACAGGAUUAGAUACCCUUGUAGUC